CGGAACGGGUGAGUAACGCGUGAGGAACCUGCCUCAAAGAGGGGGACAACAGUUGGAAACGACUGCUAAUACCGCAUAAGCCCACGGCUCGGCAUCGAGCAGAGGGAAAAGGAGUGAUCCGCUUUGAGAUGGCCUCGCGUCCGAUUAGCUAGUUGGUGAGGUAACGGCCCACCAAGGCAACGAUCGGUAGCCGGACUGAGAGGUUGAACGGCCACAUUGGGACUGAGACACGGCCCAA
rnacentral:rRNA from 1 species